CGAAUCCUCCCGAAGAGGGCCCGAUGUUUAGUGAGCAGUGUUUACUGCCAGGACUACACGGGUAUCUAAUCCGUUUUGCGCCCCUGGCCUUCAUCCCUCACUGUCCAGANUUCGUCCUCGUAAAGCUGCCUUCGCUCAUUGUUAGUCCACCGAGGAUUAACACAUUUUACCAUUACCCCCGGCGUACUCUUUACGUCUACCGAUCUCUAGCCGCUCAGUAUCUCCUGCAAGCCCUGUGCUUGAGACACAGGAUUUCACAAGAGACUUAAACGGCAAGCUACGGAUGUUUUAGACCCAAUAAAAAGGGAUGCAACUUGAACUUGCUGG
rnacentral:rRNA from 1 species